rnacentral:rRNA from 1 species
ACGGAAGCAGCAGUGGGGAAUAUUGCACAAUGGGCGAAAGCCUGAUGCAGCGACGCCGCGUGAGUGAAGAAGUAUUUCGGUAUGUAAAGCUCUAUCAGCAGGGAAGAAAAAUGACGGUACCUGACUAAGAAGCACCGGCUAAAUACGUGCCAGCAGCCGCGGUAAUACGUAUGGUGCAAGCGUUAUCCGGAUUUACUGGGUGUAAAGGGAGCGCAGGCGGUACGGCAAGUCUGAUGUGAAAGCCCGGGGCUCAACCCCGGUACUGCAUUGGAAACUGUCGAACUAGAGUGUCGGAGGGGUAAGCGGAAUUCCUAGUGUAGCGGUGAAAUGCGUAGAUAUUAGGAGGAACACCAGUGGCGAAGGCGGCUUACUGGACGAUAACUGACGCUGAGGCUCGAAAGCGUGGGGAGCAAACAGGAUUAGAUACCCUGGUA